UCGGACUCUACAGGCCAGCCUCUGCCUCA
rnacentral:piRNA from 1 species